UAGAGAAAAAUAUGUGUCAGCUAAGAUUGGCUUCUAGGGCACACAUCUAACAACUGUCAUAUCCUUCAAUCGGUGAAAAUCUUCCCAAUUGUCAACCUCCACCCGACUAUUCUCAUUGGGGCCAGUCCUUGGAUUACUCCAGCAUGAAGGAAAGCCCUAGAGAAGAGAAGAAGAAGCAAAAAAAAUUGGUUCUUCCAUCUAUGAAUGUACGAUGAAAGAUCGAUGAUGAAGAAAAGGCCUAUUCUUGGGUUGAAGAGCAACCAACUCUUGGCCUUA
rnacentral:lncRNA from 1 species